UUAGUGGAGUUAAAAAUAUAAAAACUUAAAUUAACAGUAUUGGCUAUACUACAAUCUUCAUUAUCAAGAUACAAAUACAUUCAUUAAACCUUUCACUCAUAUGUUUUAAGUUUUUACGCUCGUUUUAACUUUGUAGGUCACAUGAUCAACAUAGCGGAUGAUGAUAUCCAAAUCGCAUUAAUGCUUCAUACACAAAUACGCAUUCAGGCUGUAGAGUAUGUACUCUUUUAUCGCUCGUUAAAUUAGUUCUUAUUGAAAUUAAGUGCCUAAUUAAAGGGUAUGCGGUUUCGAACGCAGCCCGACAAAAUCUCGUUUUGACAUCUCGCGUGGUUCUGUGUGAUUUGGACAACUUCAAGUUACGCCUCUUUCGUCAAGUUACGCCCACUUCAAGUUACGCCCCUGUCUUGCAGUCUGCAGACAGACCCUUCUCCAGAAUUCACAUCUUGUGGUUUUAGCAUUUUCAUGAGUUGAAUCAGGUGUGAAUCAGAUGUGGGAGGCAUAAAAAAUAUGCAGUGAUGGUGGUCCCCAGGACAAAUUUAAGAAACAAUGAUACAGAAAACAUCAAACCUGUAUGAGCUCUCAGUAUCAGACACUGUAUCCUCCACUAGGUGGCGCUCUUUCAGUGUGAUUAAUGUGAUCUUCAGUCAGUGGUGAUGGAGGGAGGAGCCAGUAAAGCUGUUCAUUACUGAUAAAGAGCUAAAUAAAGAGGAAGUAACUAAAGCAGACAGGUGUAGAGACAGAGAGAUUCACACAGAGAUCAUUCAGCAGAAAGAAGACUGAACUCAAGUCACAAUGAAGAUCCUCCUCAUCUUCUUCACUUUCUACCUGAUCUCAGCUGCAGAAAAAGACAUUGAUGUGACUGGAUAUUCUGGAGGAAGUGUUCUUGUUGAUUCUGGGAAACUUUGGUACAGCGACUUUGUUAAAUUUAUGGCUAAAUUACCUGAGUGGAGAACAAUAAUAGAUAAGAAACAUGAUAAAUGGAUUAAUGAAGGUAGAUUCACGCUGUUUCGAAACAAUGAGGGAAACCUCAUGAUCUUUAUCAGGGAUUUAAAUCAAUAUGAUGCUGGAAGAUACGCAAUUGAUGUUCUUCACAAUCUGCGUAUAUAUAUGACUCUGAAUGUAGAAAAAGAUUCAUGUUGUAAAGUGUCAAAGAGAGUGAUGGUGAACAUUGGAACAACUGAGACUUUCAACUGUGAAUAUUCACAAAAUUAUAUUAAUAAUCCCAAAAUCAUAUUCAAAGAAGAAAAAGACUCCAUUGAGAUUAUUUACCGCAGAUGGAAUAAGGAAGGAAGAUUCAGUAUCUCUGAUGACAAACAUAGAAACAUCACUGUGAGGAUUUCUGCUGUGAGACCAGAUGAUGGAGGAGUUUAUUUAUGUGGAGUUUGGAUCAACAGACACUCGUUCAGUUACUACAUUAUUACUACUGUUCAACUACAUAUUAGUAGUAAGUAGAACACACUUAAUCAAA
ensembl:lncRNA